AGGAUAAACGCUGGCGGCGUGCCUAACACAUGCAAGUCGAACGCGCUUUUUUCGCAAGAGGAGAGCGAGUGGCGGACGGGUGAGUAACACAUGGGUACCUACCUUGGAGUGAGGGAUACCGGCGAGAAAUCGCCGACAAUACCGCAUACGCUUCUCUUCACCGGGAAGCAAAGUUGCGCAAGCGACGCUCUGAGAUGGGCCUGUGGCCGAUUAGCUAGUUGGUGGGGUAACGGCCUACCAAGGCGACGAUCGGUAGCUGGUCUGAGAGGACGAUCAGCCACACUGGGAUUGAGAACGGCCCAGACUCCUACGGGGGGCAGCAGUGAGGAAUUUUCCGCAAUGGACGCAAGUCUGACGGAGCAACGCCGCGUGCAGGAUGAAGGUUUUCGGAUCGUAAACUGCUUUUCUCGGGGACGAGCAAGGACGGUACCCGAGGAAGAAGCCCCGGCUAACUACGUGCCAGCAGCCGC
rnacentral:rRNA from 1 species